AUGGGGAGGCUGCCAUCUGCAAGGGCCGGCAGAUCUGGAACCAGUGCAGAGAGAUGGCAUGAUGCUAAGUUUGGUCAACAGAGGCUGUUGGAGGACACUGGAGGAGGAAGGGGCUUCUGCGCCUGGUCCUGCGAUGCUCUCCCAGAUUUGCUCCUGGGGCACGCAUUAGCCAGGAGCAUGAAGGACACCCAGUGGUGUCCACCCAGCAGGUUGCAGCAGCAGCCUGUGGGCAGCUUCACACUGAGCUCCACCAGCAUCCCAGGACACGGCUCCCUGCUUCCCAGCACUGGCUAGCAGCACCCAGCAAACGUCUCCACCAUCCAGUGGGCCACACCUGCCCUCCCGCUACAGAGAUGCCCUUCCUGGUUUGUUCCUUCCCUGGAGCUCUGCCUCAGCCCUGCAGAUGGAGGCUGCUCCCUGAAUCUGCUAUUCUUUAGUCUCUACCUGUUAGUACCUAGUCCCUUAACACUCAGCAUCCUAUAUUAAACUUUCCCAACCAUGUGUGGUGGCUCAUGCCUAUAAUCCCAGCACUUUGGGAGGCCGAGGUGGGUGAAUCACCUGAGUUCAGGAGUUCCAGAUCAACCUGGCCAACAUGGUGAAACCUUGUCUCUACUAAAAAUACAAAAUAAAAAAAAAAAUGUUGGGUGUGGUGGCAGGAACCUGUAAUCCCAGCUACUUGGGAGGGUGAGACAGGAGAAUCGCUUGAAUCUAGGAGGCAGAGGUUGCCAUGAGCCGAGAUCGCGCCAUUGCACUCUAACCUGGGUGAGAGAGCAAGAAUCUGUCUGAAGAAAAAAUAAAAAAUAAAAUAAAAUAAAACUUUCCCAGUUCCGAUAGCUACGUGGCUCCUGUCUCCUAACUGGACUCUGAAGGAUAUACCCAUGCAUUAACUACCUAGAGUCAACAAUUAAUAUUUUGCUAUGUCUUCCUUAUCAUAUGGGAGCCUCUUAUUAGUAACGAUCUCUAGCUGCACAUGUCAAAACAAGGCUCAUCCUAGGGAUAAAGGUGUAUUCGUUUACAAGGGCUGCCAUAACCAAGUACACAAGACCCAGUGGCUUACGCAACAGAAAUUCGUUUUCUCACAGUUCCUGGAGGCUGACAUUCAAAUCAAAGUAUCAGUUAGUUUCUUCCGCAGCCUCUCUCCUUGGCUUGCCAAUGGCCAUCUUCAUGUCACACGGCAUCCCCUCUCUAUGCCUGUGUCCUAAUCUCCUCUUCUUGUAUGGACACCACUCAUGGUGGAUCGGAGCUCAUCCUAGACCUCAUUUUAACUUAAUUACCCCUGUAAAGACCCUGCCUCCAAAUACCAACACAAUCUGAGGAACCGGGGCUAUGCCUUCAGUUAUAGGGGCAUAUAACUGAAUGAGGGGACACGUAAUUGAGCUCAUCACAGAAGAGAUCCACAGAAAGGUGUCCUUGUGCCCUGUGCUUUCUGAGGAAGAAGUGCUCCCUUGAGAUUCUCAGAGGUAAAGAUGCAACUAAGUCAUUUCUUCUGCCCCCUGGAAAACAAAAUGACAUAGACAUGUACCUCCCCGGAGGAGCCGCCUGACACCACUGAGCGGGGCGUAAGAGGUAACACUGAAGAGUUGGAGGGAGGAGAGAUGAGAGAAGAGAAAAUCAUGGAGCUUGAGUUGGCCUUUGCAGAUGAUUGGUGUCUCUGGUAAGAUCAGGCCGGGGAUAUUUAGAGUGCCCUGGAGGAUCUGAGAAUGCCCAGAACACUAAGUAAACCAGUGGGGAUUGCACCAGCCUUGCUGGAAGGGCCUUGCUGACUGGUCUGGAGGUGAAGCAAUGGUGCCCGGAGAGUGAGUGCAGCUCUGGAGGGAUUCGAUGUCUCACAAAGACCAGGCAAGUCGCAGACACCACCACCUAGUAGGCCACACAGGCUUUAGGAAGUGUCAUCAUGGGACAGGGAGGCUGAGUGUAGGCAAUUGCAGGACUUUGGGAAACUGUGGGAUUUUCUUGAGGGGCAGCUUCCUCAAAACACAGUCAGUGUUACCGUUUCCUUUUAAGUGGCAACACUGACUAUGUGUUUUGAGGAAGUUCUGGGCGGGCCAGUUAUGCAGCAGUGGUUUUCUUGGAUUCAGAAACAAGGGAAGACUAACCACUCCCCAGAUGAUAACUCCAGCUCUGCAUACUCCGGGGACCUCAGCCCACAGGGAACAAAAGCUUGCUCUUUUGGAAGAAGUUGCCUUUUACUGCAUAAUAUGUAAGGAGAAAAAAUAUUUUAAGUCCCCACAAAUGAACCGAGGGAACCAUUAGGGGAGGAAGAAGCUUGGCCUAGCCCUGCUGCAUCCUGACUCUGUGAGUUCCCUGUUCGGUCAGCCUAUUGCUGGGGUCUGGGGAUGGUGAUUAAAUCACCUGCAAUCAGAGGCCAAUUCAUACCAGCAUUGGGAAACUGUUUUGGGAUGCCUGAAAGAGACCUGACAUAAACACACAGCAGAUCGAUCCCAGCACUGAGCUCUAGCUGGACCCUUGUCUCACUUCCUCACCACUUCCUCACUUUGUCGCCGUGCUUUCAAGAUUUAGAAAGUCCUUUUAGAUCUAUCUUUGGCUUAAUGAAAAGUUUUCUUCACAGUCAUAUUUUAUAAAACAAAAAGGAAGCUUGAUCUCCCUGCCACACUUUCACUCCACUAGUGGAUUCUUUUUCUGAUACCGUAUUAUUUGCAAGCCAUUAAGUCUCGAGAUUUUGCUGACACUCAGAAUAUAUCUCUAAGGAGAGUCACAGGGACUGGCAAAAUCUUCAGUUUGCAUAUUUCACUAUCUUCAUUUGAAUUUCCUAUUAGGUUUAAUGAUGAGGGGAAAUCUAGAACCACAACCUCAUUUCUGACGAGGAUACAACCAAUAGACCUGUAGCCUGCAAAGCACCAGUACCACCAAGUACAGUUGCUCAGUUGUGCAGUGCACAAAGGUGCUGUUCAAAGGGAGCGCUAUUCACAUCAUAGACAUCUUCACUGUUUUGAAAUAUGUUCUUCUUUGUAGUCUCCAAAGGUGGGCAGUCUGUAUGUUUAUUAUAAUAAUGUUUAAGCACACAGCAGCAAGACAUCUUGCUUUAACAAAAUCACUGUAUUAUGACGGAUGAAUGUAGUGUCUAAUGGGGUAUUUCAUACUGUUCUUCAGCUUACAAUAAUCAGCAGCAUGGUACUCUGACAUCAUAUCAUUUUUAUUGUGCUGUGGUUUACUUGCGCUUCCAAACAAGGAGUUGACUGAUGAUGAUUGGUGAGUAUAUAAAGAAAUCCAUCCCCUUUGUUAUUAGAACACUGCUCAAUUUAGUCUCCAUCUUACAGUUUGUCACCUGAUAUUUGUUACUUUACCUAGAUGAUAUUAUUAAGCUUUCAGCUUACAUCUAUAGUACUUUCUAUACUAUACUAUAUAUAGUGAGAUGAAUCAUUGAAAAAUAAUUGAUAAUUUUCCAUUAAUAAUCCAUUGAGU
ensembl:lncRNA